CAUGAAGUGGUGCUGCCAGAGGUGCGCCUGGUGGAUGAGGAGUACAGGAGAUGGUGGGGGACCUGCGGGGUGAGUGCAGCAAGUACAGCUCCUCAAGUCCACCUGGAUACAGAUGGUAUCCAGGUGCCUGACUGCAGCAAGAUCCUUGUGGAGCUCACCUCUGUGUGACUACCAGAAAUCCAUGCAGGACCUUUGCAAAUUCGCCAACAACCAGGUUGUCACAAAAUAUUGUGAUCUUGACUCUUAACCAUGGGUGAGACUUAUGGUAGGGUAGGGGCAGAGCUGGCUGGAGGUUUGUCUCUUCACCUGUCCCCCUCUCCCUCCCCCUCUGAAGAUGAUGGGCAGAGGAGUGAGAACAAAAUGACAGGGGGGUGGAGGGGUGGGAGGUUAGGGAAGGGAAGGGACUGCAGAAGUGCACACAGGCCCACACAGACAAGCACCCACACAGACACAGAGGGAGGGGGUUGGGAUGGAGAGGGGCGCACAGCAGGGCAAGUAGGACCCCCAGGACCUCUCCCAAAAUAGCCUCCCCACCUUCGACCCCUUUCUCCUCCCCAUGGUAGGAACACACUGUGUUUAUAUUUCAUGGCCAAAUUAUUUUGGAUUUUGUUGACUGGCCCUUAGUGCCCUGCCCUCUCCCCUUUGCAGGACCACAGCCCCCUCCCUCUGUUCCUCCCUGGUCCCAGCUCUGGUUUUCCUUGUUUCUUAGUUGGUUCUCUUUUGCCUUCCCCAACAGGCUCCCACCCCCACAAUCCUGAGGCCCCUGUCCCUCUCUUCCUCUCAGGGGCAGUUUCAUAUUUCCUAUGACAAAAUUGCUCUUUAAACAUUUUGUUGUAUUAAAAAUAAAUAAAUAAAAAUUUUAAAAAUAAAAAUUUUCACAUGCUUUUGCUGCAUUUUUGAGAUGCUCCUAUGUCCUUUCUUUUCUUAUUCUGUUAAAAUGGUGCAUUAUAUCCCCUCAGAACGGCAAUUAUCAAGAAUACAAGUAACAAUAAAAAUUGGCAAGGAUGUGGGGAAAAGAGAAAUUCCUGGUAGAACUGCAAACUGGUGCAUCCACUCUGGAAAGGAAUAUGGAGAUUCCUCAGAAAACUUGGAAUGGAACCACUAUUUGACCCACUCCUUGGCAUAUAUCCAAAGGACUUAAAAUUACCAUACUAUAGUGAUGAGCCACAUCAGUGUUUUGAGCAGCUCAAUUCACACUAGCUAAGCUAUGGAACUGACCUAGAUGCCUUUCAACAGAUGGAUGGAUAAAGAAAAUAUGGGACAUCUAACACAAUGGAAUAUUAGCCAUAAAGAAGAAGGAAAAUAUGGCAUUUUCUGGAAAAUGGAUGGAACUGAGGACUCUCAUGUUAAUCUCCAAAAACCAAAGACCAAAUGUUAUCUCUGAUAUACAGAUGACUCACAAUAGGUGGUGGUGGGGAGUGGAAGUUCACCAAAUUGGACAGAGAAGAAUGGUGGGAAGGAAGGGGAGAUGGGAAUGGGAAAGACACUAGAAUGAAUUUGAUAUAACUUUCCUAUGUUCAUGAUCACUGUAACUCCACAUCAUGUACAACCACAAGAAUGGGAAGUUCUACUCCAUAUAUAUAUAUGAAAGAUAUGUCAAAAUACAUUCUACUAUCAUGUAUAACUAAAAAGAACAGAUAAAAAAUUAAAAAUAAAAAAAGAAAUAAGGCCAUAAGUUGUUUUACUUGAAGUUAAAGGCAUGUGAAAAAAAUUCUUUUUUAAAAACAAAUCUAGCUUUUUAAAUAGAAAACAAAAAGGUGAAUUACUAUUGUUUAUCUUCUAAUGUAUCCCUCAGUACUUCUAACCAGGUCGUUUAUUAUGGUGGCAAAUCUGGAUUGUUUAUAUGUCCCUUUUUCAUCCUGAUUUGUCCUCUUUUUUAUCUUAUACUUUCAUUGCCCCUUUUUCCAAUAACUAGAAAAUCCUGGAGAGGAAAUGUUCCAUUUCCCUUGUUUGUAGCCCUCUUUCAUGGAUAUUAUUGAUUGACAGGAACUUUUGUAGAAGAGACUUGCACUAGGAGAGUACAAACUAAACUUGGAGUUGAUUCUGUGGCUAAUUAACUUUUUUCCUCCCUAAGAGAAAGUAUUUUGGUAUUUAUGUUUUGCAGAAAAAUAUUUUUUGCAAAAAAAAUUUUGCAAGAAAAAUUUCUAGCAGUUAUAUACCCUGUAACUCCUAUCAAAAUUUAUUUGUGCUUUUUUAUUACCUUACUCCUAAUUGCAAGUGUCAUUGCACUUUCCAUUAUUUUGUCAGGUAAGUUUUUCUCCAAACUAUGCAGUAUUUUGUACACAUUUAUAGUGUCAGUAAAAUUUAUUUAAUUUUGAGCUCUGUUUUGUGUAUCAGUAUCAAUCGGAACAUAAAACUAACUUAAAGUAAUAAGAUGCAGGUUCUAAUACAAAUUUUCUAGUUAGUCAUUUAUCAGUUUAACUUAUUUUGUUUAUGCUUUCCUUAAUGUGGUUCUCUGUUUUGAAAUGUUUCUUCUUUCAGGGCCGGAAAUUUGUAGAUCAGUAAAUUGUUCUGAAAAUUUGCUUAAAUAUGUGGUUUCAAAGUUCCUCCCAUGGCGGGCUUUAGUCUCACAGUCCUUUUCAGCUUCCUGCUCAGUCAGGAGGUGAGCAUCUGUGGUUCACCCACAAUCCAGCAUCACCAAGAGAUCACUAGUGAAUUCUUCUCAGGUCUGAGCACCAAGAUGACAGCUACAGAGGCUUCAGUGGAAAUGUUAAAAACAGACCUUAGAUUCACAGACGGACUGGAAAAAGCUGAACCUGGUAAAGUAAUUGAUGAAAUUAGAAAAAUUAUAAGAGGGGCAUUUUUACUCCCCAGCCCCUGAAUUGCAAAGGGAGCUGAAUUUAGACAUGUUAGUAUUUUACAAUCUCCGAAGAAGUUCCGGAGAGAGGGGAAUAGACUAGGUGUGAGGAUAGAUAUAGAAUUGCUACAUUAGUUAUUGUAUUAUGAUAUAUGUUUCUUAAAUACUCAUGAAGCAAGACUAAUGAAUAGUGAAUUUGGUUGCAAGAGGAGGAGGAAACUGUUCCUUGUGUUCAGAGCACUAGUACUCUCUCUUGCCUAUGUCUCUGGCAAUUUGCACACUUGUAGGUCACACCAUGACUUUCAGUAAUAUGCUCUUUAUAUUCCGGGUUAAUGGCAGACUUCAAUGCCAAUGACUCUAUAAUACACCUACUAAGAUAAUUUACCCUGCAAAAGCUGGAACUUCAAGUUUGCAGAUUCUUUGUGGGCAAGAUGAUUAAAAUGAGCUAUAGAGGAAGCUUUUUCAAGUUGGGACUCCUGCAAUUAUUUAUUCUUUUGAGCAAGUCUCCAUUUAGGCGAUCCUGGGAGAGAAACUUGAAAUUAGACACAGAUGUGGUCAAAUCUGUACAAACUUGUAAGAAAGUAUUUUUUUUCCAAUUUCAUUGCUCUUUCUUACCUCCUCCAUUUUUUUUAUCUUUUCCUCUUAUUAUUUUUUGUUUCUUUAUAAGUCCUGAGUAGUGUUUUUUUUUUUUUACCAAUUCUUCUACUGAAGAAUAUUUGAAUUGUUGAAAAUUUUUUAUUUUUAAUAAUCAAUAAAAAAUAAAACUGCUAUAAAUGUUCAUGUACAGGUUUGAAUAUAAACUUGAGUUUUUAUUCCCCUUGUUUAGAACAUCUAGGGGCACCUGAACAGGGCAUGUGGCAUACGUAUGUUUACCAUUUUUCCUUGCUAAACACAAUACAAGGACCUUCCAUUUGUGUCUGUUCUUCAGCAACACUUGCUGGUGUGACUUUGUUUAGUUUUGUUUACUACUCUAAUAAUCAUAUGGAGAUUACCAAUUAUGGUUCUAAUUUGUAUUUCUCAAAAAUCUAUCAACAUCAAGCAUACUUUAUGUGUUUAUUUACCAUUCUGGCAUUGUCUUUAUUGUUGUUACUUUGUAAGUCAUGAAAUCUAAAACUCUGAUUUCUCCAAAUCUGAUCUUUUUUUUUUUUCCUAAAAUCAUUUAGGCAAUUUUGGUUCUUUUACCUUUUCACAUAAUUAAAAAGUGACCUUCUUAAUUUCUACCAAAAAAUAAAAUAAAAUAAAUCAUAAUGCAAUGUUUACUGGAAUAGCACUGUAUUUAUAAACCUGUUUGGAAAUAGUUUGAAUAUUUAAUCCAUGAGUUGAAUAUUCCAAUCCAUUAAUAUUUUUUUAUUUCUCUAUUGAUUUAUGUCUUCUUAGAGCUGUUUGUUGUUUUUGCAUAUAGUUUUCAUUAUACUGAUUAUGAAUAUAUUUUGAUAGCUUUACAAGUUAAAUAUUUUAUCUUAAUUGGUGUUGCUAUAAAUGGUCCUGAUCUUGUAUUUUAAUUUGCAUUUAGUAAUUCUAGCAUAUGAAAAUAGAAGUUAUUUUUAAAGAUCAGGACUGUACCAUAGCUUUGUAAAAAUUAAUUUAUUACAUCUAAUAUCCUUUUGGUAGAUUCUUUGAUAUCAUCAUCAUGGAUCAGGUCAUUGCUGGGUUGAAUGGGAUACAGCUGUGGGGAUAAAAAGCUGCUCAUACAGAGGACCAGCAUGGGAUCCAAGAACACCAAGCUGAGCACCAGCAAUCAGACACCAGUGAUGCUGUAGGUGCCUGGCCUGAUGAGCUCACAGGUACAGAUAGGGGCCCACCCUACUGAGGUCCUGUGCCUCAUGAAGUGGUGCUGCCAGAGGCACUCCUGGCUAAUGAGGAGUACAGGAGGUCAUGUAGGACCUGUGGGAUAAGUGCAGCAAGUACAGAUCCUCACGUCCGUUGAGAUCCCAGGCCUGUGGAUGGUGUCCAGGUGCCUGACUGUGGCAAGAUCCUUGUGGAGUUCUCCUCUGUGUCUGACUGUCAGAAAUCCAUGCAGGACCUUCACAAAUUCACCAACAGAGUGGUUGUCAAAAAAUAUUGUGACCCCUGACUCUUAACCACUGCGGAGACAUCUGGUAGAAGUGGCCUGGGUAGGGUGGGGGCAUGGCUGCCUGGAGGCUUCUCUCCCCAUUUGUCUCGCCUUUUCCCCCUCUGAAGAUGAGUGACAGCCAAAUGACCACCUGAUAGCCAGCAGAAAAUGGAAUGGCAGCAAUUAAGUGUGGGGGGUGGGGAGUAGGGAGGUUAUGACAGGGAAGGGACUGGGGAAGUGCACACAGGCCCACAUAGACACAGAGGGAAUGGGUUGGGAUGAGGAGGGGUGCACAGUAGGGAGAUAAGACCCCCACAGCCCUUCUUAAAACAGCCUUUUCUCUCUUAGACCCCUUUUCUUCUCCCCUUCCCAUGGUAGGUAGGAACAUACUGUGUUUAUAUUUUAUGGCCAAACUAUUUUGAAUUUUGUUGACUGGCCCUUGGUGCCCUGCCCUCACCCCUUUGCAGGACCACAGCACUGGUCCUUCAGUCCUCCCUGGUACCCCACCUGUUUCCCCUUAUUUCUUAAAUAGUUGGUUCUCUUUGGCCUUCCUGACUCUCUCUAACACCCUAGAGGGUACCGGUGAAAGG
rnacentral:lncRNA from 1 species